rnacentral:sRNA from 1 species
UACCCCAUGGAAUGCUCAGGUCCGCCGCAUCUCCUGGGUCCCGUGGGGGGCCGGUCGGCUUCAUGCAAUGACGGUUUCCUCGUACCGUCGCAAUGAGGCCGGCCGGCCAUUUC